rnacentral:lncRNA from 1 species
AAUUUCAUACUUUGGAUUUUAAAUAUGGUGGCUGAGCCUCCCUGAUGGUUUGGAUCUGUGUUUGGACCCACAUCUCAUGUUGAAAUGUAAUUCCCAAGCUGGAGAUGGGCCCUGAUGCGGGGUGAUUGGAUCAAUGGGGUGGUUUCUUGUGGUUUAACACCAUUUCCCCUUGGUGCUGUCAUUGCAAUAAUGAGUGAAAUCUGGUUGUUUAAAAGUGUGUGGCAACUCCUCCCUCUCUCUCUUCCUCCUCCUCCAGCCAUGUGAAGUGCUGGCUUCCCUUUGCCUUCCACCAUGAUUGUAAGUUUCCUGAGACAUCCCCAGAUGCCAAGCAGAUGCCACCAUCACAUUUCCUGUACAGCCUGUGGAACUAUGUUGAUGACCAGAAUAACACCUGCUCCACCGAAGUCUCAGAGCAGCAGUGGGAAUCACGUGACACAGUCAUUCACUCAGCAAGUGUGUGUGGAGUGCCCAUGACAUGCCAGCCCCUCUUCCAGGAGCCAGAGAUAGAGAAUGGAGUUCCAAGCAGCAGCUGAAAGGUGUUGCUACCUGCAAUCUGACAUAGAGCCCCAAAUUAUUAGUGGUUCUCAACCUUGAGCAUGCAUCAGAAUUUCCUGGAGAGCGUCUUAAAACAUCAAUUGGUGGGUUCCACUCCUAAUGUUUUUGAUUACGUAUUGAUAGGUCUAAGUUAGAAACUGAGAAUUUGCAUUUCUAACAAUUUCACAGUUGUUUCUGAUGCUAACAGUCCAGGGUCACACUCUGAGAACCCCUACUCUAAGGAUUAAAUGUAUUAAGCAUAUUUAACACACAUUUAUUUAGUGCCUACUGUGUACUAGGAACUGUUUUCAGUAUGAAAGAAAAAGCAGUGAACAAAACAAAGCCCCUGCCUUCAUGAAGCUUUCAUUCUAGUGGUGGCGAUAGACAAUAAAUAAACCCAUAAAUAAACAAUAACAUUUCAGAUUAUGCUAAGUUCUUUGAAGAAAAUAAAGCAGGUUAGGGAAUAGUGAGUGACUGAGUCGCACUGAGAAAUAUUAUUUCGGAUUCAGCAGUAGUUGGGGAAGGCAUCUCUGAGGAGGUCAUAUCUGAUCAAAAACGAUAAAAAGAGAAGACAUCUGAUUUCGGGGAAGUGUACUCCAAGAGGAAAGAACAACAAGUGCAAAGAUCCCAAGGAAAAAGAAAAUAUAAUUGGACUUACACUGUUCAAAGAACAUUCCAGCUACAGAGCAGAACAGGAAUGGAAGCAGGUGAUAAGUUAGGUGACUGCUGAGAUCUUGCAGGUGAGGGAUGAUGGAGGUGUGACCUGAGGUAGUGGCAGAGGAGGUGCUGAGAAGUGAUCAGAUUCACAUUGUACUUUAAAAGUCAAGCUGACAGGACUUGCUGUUGGGUUGGAGGUAAGGCGAGGGGAAGAGAAAAAUCAAGAAUGGGUCCUGAGAUUUUUGGCCUGACUUAAUAAACUAUGAUAAUCUCUAAGAAAGUAUUCGGCACAUAAGGGUUCAAUACUCAUCUAUGUAUGUUGGAAUCAGAAAGUUUUCAGUUUAGAAAUUCCAAUGAUGCCCUAAAUGGUCACACAACCCAUGCCCUGCACAACUCUAGGGGGCACUAUUAUAUAGACUGUGAUAUGAAUGGGGUUGUGUAAAGAGGUUCUUUUGGAAAAGGUUUGACUUUCACAACUCUCUGACUCUGUAUCAAUAUUAUCCUUAGAUUUUUUUCAUCUUUCUUCAGCCAAAUAUCACUCCAAUAAACUGAGUUGAACAUUCAUCAUGAAAGCCACUGUGCCAGAGGCUGAGCAUGUGUCAUUCAUUUGGGAGUAUUUUAGAACUCAAAGACUUACAUUUGGAGUAUGAGCUUAUACCAAGAAAGAGAGUCAUCAUGUCAUCAGUGAUCAAUAUUAAUGUUGAAGGGUUCUUUCUUGACAUUUCCCCAAGAUUCCUUGCUCAAGAAUAUUGGGUCAGUUGCACCCCCUUGAUUAUGGGGGUAGCAUUAGAAUGAUCGUGAUAUGUAACCUAGUCAAGUACCACCACCCUGGAUGUCCACCCCCUCCUGAGUGGAGCUGGCAAGCUUGACACUGCACCAGCAGAGAUAAAGAUGCAUGCAUUCUGUGGGAGCAAUCACGUCUGGACCCUAAAUCUCUCCAAAUAUCAUCAAGAAAGAAAUAUGACUCAUGGAAAUUCAGUUGUAUUUUUUAAGUUUAUUCUUGUUGAUUAUAGCUUAGGAGAUUCAGUUUGUGUUUUUCAUGCAUCAAAAUUAUAAAGAGAGCAGAGUUUGUCACCACCAGCUUCCUUAGCCCACGUUGCUCUCUGUGCCUGCUUAUUGAAUUUACUCUGCAUCAGUUCCCCAUUCCUCUGCCCCCUGAUCUUACCCAGUUGCCCAUGCUCCAGAUCUGAAUUUAGCAACCCCAUCAGCAGUUAUUCAUUGAGAAAGUAUUAUAGAUCAUUAUAACACAUACAGUGUUUCACACAGCACACAUGCUGGGUACUGCCCUAGUCUAUAAUAGCCAAUAUUUAUUGAGUCCUUAUUAUUUGUCAGGCACUGUGCCAACUGCUUUCAGUAAAUUAUCUCAUUUAAUCCUCAUGGUAAUCCUAUAGUUUUAGUUCUAUUAUUAUCUCCAUGUACAAAUGAGAAACCUGAGAAGAGGUGAAAUAAUGCCUAAGAUUACCCAGGAGGCUUAUAGCAGGAUGGGAUGAAAACCCAAACCUUUCUGACUCAUAGUCCAUGUUUGUUGUUGUUGUUGUUUGUUUUUGUUUUUUGUUUGUUUGUUUGUUUGUUUUUUGAUAUGGAGUCUUGCUCUGUCACCCAGGCUGGAGUACAGUGGCACGAUCUCA